rnacentral:rRNA from 1 species
UACGGAGGGUGCAAGCGUUAAUCGGAAUUACUGGGCGUAAAGCGUGCGCAGGCGGUUUGUUAAGUCUGUUGUGAAAUCCCCGAGCUCAACUUGGGAAUUGCAAUGGAUACUGGCAGGCUGGAGUAUGGUAGAGGAAGGUGGAAUUCCCGGUGUAGCAGUGAAAUGCGUAGAGAUCGGGAGGAACACCAGUGGCAAAGGCGGCCUUCUGGACCAAUACUGACGCUCAUGCACGAAAGCGUGGGGAGCAAACAGG